ACGGGAGCUUCGUGUGGAUGAUCCACAGAGGUCAGACACUAGUGUGGCUACAACAUGAUGAUCAGAGCCCCCCGAUGAUAAUCAAAUUGCGAUGAUCGACUACCCGCAAAAGGUGAUGUGUUCUGAACACAGUACAGUAAAAAGUUUACUAUUUCAAAUUUAAAUUUUAAAUUUAAAUGCAUGCUGUUGUAUCAUAUUUAGAUCCUAGUGUAGGGUUAAUUAGUAUUAAUUAAUG
rnacentral:lncRNA from 1 species